rnacentral:rRNA from 1 species
UACGAAGGAGGCUAGCGUUGCUCGGAAUCACUGGGCGUAAAGGGCGCGUAGGCGGCGUUUUAAGUCGGGGGUGAAAGCCUGUGGCUCAACCACAGAAUGGCCCUUCGAUACUGGGACGCUUGAGUAUGGUAGAGGUUGGUGGAACUGCGAGUGUAGAGGUGAAAUUCGUAGAUAUUCGCAAGAACACCGGUGGCGAAGGCGGCCAACUGGACCAUUACUGACGCUGAGGCGCGAAAGCGUGGGGAGCAAACAGG